UCAAGAGUAGCAGCACAAAUAGAGCUCAAGGAGACCUUCUCAAGUUCUUGAUUUUUUGUUCACUCAGCCUAGGCUAGAAGAGGUGCCUGGGUCUCCUGGUCUUGACUUAUUUUUUGCUUUUUUUGGAAAAAUUUCUUUUUGGUAGAGAUGGAGUCUCUCUAUAUUGCCCAGGUUGGUCUUGAACUCCCGGGCUCAAGCAAUCCUUCACUGAGCAAUGCUCUGCCCUACCCCAUUUAAUAUGGAUGUUAUAAGGCCAAAAACUCAAGACAAGUACAGCCCGGAAGAGGCAAAACAGAAAAGAUAACAAAAAGGCAGCAUGUGGGCUGCAGUGAUCCAAACACCCCAGGAGUCUGUCUCAGUGUACAGCAGCAGGCAGCCUCCCGGCUCCUCUGAGUGACCCCAGAGACCCUUGGAGUGUUCCCAGCAAGAGGCCUAAGCAGGCCCUGUUUGACCAUCCCUCCUUAUGGUUCCUGCAUAUCUGGAAGGAAGAGCUGAGUCCCUGGCUAUACCCUGCCAUAGCCUGCUUUCUCCUAGAAAUCCACUAAUUUUCUGUCCUGUGCAGGUGGGGCCAAAGCCCCUAAGACAAGAAGUCCUUAAGAUAGGAAUGCCCCUGCUUUGAUACCUCUGAGCCCAGAGAGGUGGGCCCCAAGCCUGAGUUAUGUGUGUGUGCUUGUGUGUGUGUAUGUGUGUGCGCACGUGUGCAAGAGCACCAUGGUCAUUCACCCAGAGUUGGAUAGAGGUGGACCCCACUGGGGGAUUGGGACAGGGUCUGCACUGGGGGUGUCAGACAUUCAGUGAAUACUUGCUGAAUUAAAAGACUUGUUUUCUUUGAAAGCUGUGGGACAAUGAAACAUAAGGCAUAUGGCUGGCAGCCGGGGGUCGUCUGCACCCAGGGGGCUGUAAGUACACAAACAGCUGCUGGUAGUGCACCCGGACCCGAGCUCAGUUAGAUAGCCCCAGUGGGUGAAUGACUAACCUUAGCAUCCCCAGUGACUUCACAGGGGCUGGGAAAAGGUUUCCAGGCCUAAUGGGCCUUGAAAGGCA
rnacentral:lncRNA from 1 species